AGGAAAAGAAACCAACAGGGAUUGCCCCAGUAACGGCGAGUGAAGCGGCAACAGCUCAAAUUUGAAAUCUGGCCUCGGCCCGAGUUGUAAUUUGCAGAGGAAGCUUUAGGCGCGGCACCUCCUGAGUCCCCUGGAACGGGGCGCCACAGAGGGUGAGAGCCCCGUAUAGUUGGAUGCCCAGCCUGUGUAAAGCUCCUUCGACGAGUCGAGUAGUUUGGGAAUGCUGCUCAAAAUGGGAGGUAAAUUUCUUCUAAAGCUAAAUACCGGCCAGAGACCGAUAGCGCACAAGUAGAGUGAUCGAAAGAUGAAAAGCACUUUGAAAAGAGGGUUAAAUAGCACGUGAAAUUGUUGAAAGGGAAGCGCUUGUGACCAGACUUGCGCCGGGCUGAUCAUCCGGUGUUCUCACCGGUGCACUCGGCCCGGCGCGGGCCAGCAUCGGCUCCCGCGGGGGGACAAAGGCCCCGGGAAUGUAGCUCCCCAGGGAGUGUUAUAGCCCGGGGCGCAAUGCCCCCGCGGGGACCGAGGUACGCGCUCCGCAAGGAUGCUGGCGUAAUGGUCACCAGCGACC
rnacentral:rRNA from 1 species